GGCGCAAGCCUGACAGAGCAAUACCGCGUGAGGGAAGAAAGCCCACAGGGUUGUAAACCUCUUUUAUCAAGGAAGAAGUUCUGACGUUACUUGAUGAAUAAGCAUCGGCUAACUCCGUGCCAGCAGCCGCGGUAAU
rnacentral:rRNA from 1 species